GACAGAUACACGCAUCCUGUGCCUCCCAUCAUAACAUCGUACACACUGACGCCAUUUUGCCUGCUAGAGAACGGGCCGCGUGAAGUUGUGUUAUAUCUGUAUGCAUUGAUUGUGUUUGUGAAAUCUCGUGAGACUCGGGCUUCCAUCAGUCCCCACAUAUUCUCCCCUCUAUCGAGAGCACAGUCAGGCUGCCUUCUGACGUCUCCCACAGAUUGCAUGGGACAGGGCCCAGAUGUAAACAGGACUCAGAGGCCAAACCCGUUCGGCCUUGACCCAAGCUAUGAAUAAACCAAAUUAAACAGAAAUCACACCUCCAUCACGUCCCCAAGGACUGAUGCUGAAGGAGGGGAUGAGUGGAAAGAGAAGCCCAAGGAGGUCAAUGACUCCCCCCUCCACCCAAGGAGAAAACAUAUCACAAUGAAAAUGGCAUUUUUUUUCUUAAAUCCUAUCACAGUGUGAGUGUGUGUGUGUGUGUGUGUGUGUGUUUAUCGUGUCUCUCCUGCAUGAGGUGAAGUACAUCCCCCACAGUUCCUUACACCACUGCAAUGUAAUCACCACGGUUACCCUGCCGGCAUCAGCGCCCGCCUGUCCCGCCUGUCCCGCCUGCGGGCGCUUCGAAGACACGGAGGGGCUUAAGAGACGACGACAGGGAGCGAACGGAAGAAAGGAUUUAUCCCUCUAUUUUAAACCAUCUGGUUUUUGUGCCAUAAAAAAUGACUCCACAGCCUGCAUGGGAUAUAAAGCCUUUCAACUGCUUAGUUAACUUCCCAAAAUAGCAAUCGCUUACAUCAUUAGAAUCUGAAUGAGAUGUCUGCACAAUUUGUUUUAUCCCCCAACCCCCCCCCACCCGCAUCCCUCAACAACCCCUCUUCGCCCCACUUCCAACACCAGACAUGUGAAGCUGGGUGCUUAAGAGGGAACACAGACAUGAGAGUAGGCCUACCAGUGGAAGGAUAAAGGGAAUGAGACUGACAGGAUGAAAGCAGGUUUUCAUCUCUUGUCUUUUUCUUUCCCUCUCCGUCUCUUUCUCAUAUCCCGCCUCCACCCGUUUUGCUCGUUCAGCAGAGCUGUGACAGCUUCCACUUCAGUCCAGUUUUCUAGACGAGGUAGAGGACAUGUCCGGUGCACGCCAAUGAUACACGCGCACGGGAGGUUAUGGAUUUGGAUGACAACAUUUUUG
ensembl:lncRNA